rnacentral:lncRNA from 1 species
AACUUAACGACCUCACCAUCCCUGCCACAUUGAGUUUAACAGCCGCAGCCCGGAAAGUGUUGAUACUACCAGAUUCAGGAGCACUGAUCAGCUCACCAGCUCCAAUACACUUGUCAAUAUAUUUGUAAAAGCCCGAAAAGUAGAAUUCCACAUUGCAGAACAAUCAAAUCAGAUCUCGCAACAUAAAGAUAACCCUUUCAUAAAUCAAGGACUUUAUACUAAUCAUACCUUUACGCUUAGCAGGUACUUGUGUAUACCUAUUAUCAUUAUUUUUGCAUUUCUUCCUUUAUAAUAAUCCGAAACUGAGACGCCGUGGAUACAGAGCACACUUAUUUGGCAAUGACAACAGUCUGGACCUUACUUUCGUCCUAAUAUAGUUUACAAAACACUCCAAGAGAGUACUAAAACAUAAUAUAUAUAUAUAUAUACAUCAAAAUAUAAUCAUUCCCAAAUUUGGACAAACCAUUCCAUGAGAGUACUAAAACAUAAGACAAAGUGAUAUAUAUGAAUUUAUUUCCAGCACAAAAACUUACGGAAAUUGAAGAGGAGACACAUGGACUACAGUACUAAAUCCUUACAUUUCAAUAGAUCAUAAAAUUGUCUCAGUAUUCUCAUCAAACAGAUGGAGUGCAAAAGCCUCACCAUUUUAGUAGAAAAUCAAGAAAUCAAAUAAUCACUUGACACAAAAAGAGAUUAACCUAAAAAAGGGAAGUGAUAUAGAUAUUGGGGAAAAGGAAAUACCUCCUCCAUCAGUAGAUCCGAGCAACGGUAGUAAUCGCCUCCAACCCAAUGCUGAGGAAGUUGUGAGCGCAAUUAGAAGCAAGUCGUGAAGGCUG